AAGAGCCGUGUGAGGUGAGAAUCUCAAGCACGGUUCUGUGAGCAGCUUGGGCUGAAAUGCCCUUGCUUACUCGAC
rfam:Sphingobacteriales bacterium 44-61 SCNpilot_expt_1000_bf_scaffold_77, whole genome shotgun sequence.